CUGAAGGCCAACAAAGAUACCCAACGGAUUUACUUUAUCAAGUGGAUCACCAUGGCUUUGCCGUAUUGGUCCAUUUGAUCGAUCUUUGUUGUUAUUAUUAUUUAUUUAAUUUUAUUUUUAUUUUCAGUUGUUACAGACGGGACAGACAUGGCAACAACUCCACCUCAUUGUUUCCCUCCUCCAUUUGCCCAUUGUAUUGUACAUUUCAAUGUUCUUCCAAAUUACUACCUGUCUCCGACCUGUCUGUGCUAUGUACGUAUGGUCGGGGGGUCCAAUUCCACUGCAGGUGCAAACUUGCAUGUGACAAAUAAAAGGUCUGAUUGAUUGAUAUUUACGUGUUACCAUAGCGACCAGAGACCCUUAAGGGGCAGAGAGGAGGAUGUUACUCUCAUUGUUGUUGGCGUAUCUCAGGAGGACGCUGCUAAUAAAGUUACACAAUUACACAGUGAAUUCGCGUUUAUUAUUAUAUUUACAAAAUACCACUGUCUUGGUCGUAUCAUUUUAUUUUGUUGUAUUUAUCCGUGACACCUUAAUGGUCGGUGAAAAUAUUGUCGGACAUUAAACCGGUCCAUGCCGCAAAAAAGGUUGGGGGCUGCUGCUGCUGAGAAAUAAACACUCGUGCAACGGUAGAUGGCAUACAAGCUUUUAAAAAGUAUGCUCAGGUGACUUGAGCCGCCACACGGUUUCCGUAGCGUAGUGGUUAUCACGUUCGCCUAACACGGAAACAUUAUGUGUUUAUUUUAUUUCACUUUAUUUUUUUCAUUUAUUUGUCUUCUUGAAGUAACCAAACCAUAUGCCAUGCAGUCGUGUGGUCUUGGCGCGUUGUGGGUAACAAGUGAAACAAAUAUAAACUGACUGUGUGAAAACUGAAUUGUCCGAUAUGUCCCUGAACGCGACCCGUACUCAGGAAGCACGCAUGUGUCGCUGCAGCUGUUGUUUAGCGCCGUGUUGCAGUACGUGCUUUAAAAAAAACUAUGCAGCCACAGACUUUCUAACUCUCACCAACUACCGAUGUGUUUGUUUUCUGCUUCAGCUGUGGUGAUGAGGCCGACUAUUGCAGAGUCGUCAGAGAACUUCUGCAGGAAGCACUGGGUGGAGUUGUGGGAUAAGUCUGCAGUGUGGAUGGUGAAGAGGAACGGAGCCAGAACCAUUCCAUGUGGGGCCCCCGUACUGCAGACGACCCUGUCCGACACACAGCCCUGAGUCCUCACAUACUGUGGUCGGUCGGUGAGG
ensembl:lncRNA